CACUUGUAAGCGUCUGAUUGAAGAUGAAGGAAAUACCAAAAAGUGAAACUACGCCUGACAAUUAUUGAACAGUUGUUUUUGUAGAUAAGUAUUAGUGGUAUGGAAGUGACAAUAAAUCUAUUGUAUAAAUUACAUACGGGCAGAUCAUACAAAAAUGAUAACAACGCAAUAAUUAACAUGAACCCAAAAAAAAACAACCUUACCGAAGACCGAGUUGUUCAUGAGUUUGAAGAAGUUCUUCUCGAAAGCAGUCUUGGCUUGUUGUCGCAUUUUGGUGUUGAACUCAACGUAGGGUUUCAUGAAAGCCUCUUGUUGGAACUCUAAUACUUUAUGUAUUUUUUUCAACUUUAGACCGAGUUGGAGAUGCAGUUGCAGGUUGCGAUAGUGCCUUUGAUUUUACAAAUGCCACGACUACUUUGUUUGGUUUUUGUCCUUGAAACAAAUUAUCCCAUGUAAACAUUGUACUUCCAGCAGCAAGACUUUGCGAUCGACACUCUGUCAAAUGGAUAUUUAGCUGUGCUGUUUUUCAACAACUCUGCAUGAGCUACAAUAAGAGCUGGAUUGACUCUUAACUUCUUUGCUAUUCGCUUUUCGCUUGAUUUACAAUUUGCUGUGUGGGGGAAGUUCAAUGUCAAGUCACUGCUCUCUGCGGAAGCCUUAUGAGAUCAUCCGGGGAUAUCGCCAUAUUGAAAACCCGCCAGAGGUUCGGUCCACGUCCAUGGUGCUCGGGAUGAGUCAUUGGAGGACGAAGAUCGGGUGUCCUUAUGCUGCCAUGAAAUGUCGUUUUUAUGAUGUCCAAUUAUGUUCAAAAAUAAACAACUUGGAGAAUGUG